AGCAUGUGGUUAAUUCGAUGCAACGCGAAGAACUUACCUGGGCUUGACAUCCCGGGAAUCCCCUGGAAACAGGGGAGUGCCCUUGGGAACCCGGUGACAGGUGCUGCAUGGCUGUCGUCAGCUCGUGUCGUGAGAUGUUGGGUUAAGUCCCAUAACGAGCGCAACCCUUAUCGUUAGUUGCCAUCUGGUAAUGCAGGGGACUCUAGCGAAACUGCCACCGUAAGGUGAGAGGAAGGUGGGAUGACGUCAAAUCAGCACGGCCCUUAUGUCCAGGGCUACACACGUGUUACAAUGGUCGGUACAGAGGGCAGCUACCUGGUGACAGGAUGCUAAUCUCGAAAACCGGUCUCAGUUCGGAUCGAAGUCUGCAACUCGACUUCGUGAAGCUGGAUUCGCUAGUAAUCGCGCAUCAGCUAUGGCGCGGUGAAUACGUUCCCGGGCCUU
rnacentral:rRNA from 1 species